rnacentral:rRNA from 1 species
AACGAACGCUGGCGGCGCGCCUAAUACAUGCAAGUCGAGCGAGAAGACGUAGCAAUACGUUUGUAAAGCGGCGAACGGGUGAGGAAUGCAUGGGUAACCUACCCUCGAGUGGGGAAUAACUAGCCGAAAGGUUAGCUAAUACCGCGUACGCUCCUUGGACUUCGGUUCAGGGAGGAAAGCGAUACCGUGGGUAUCGCGCUCUUGGAUGGGCUCAUGUCCUAUCAGCUUGUUGGUGAGGUAACGGCUCACCAAGGCUUCGACGGGUAGCUGGUCUGAGAGGACGAUCAGCCACACUGGCACUGCGACACGGGCCAGACUCCUACGGGAGGCAGCAGUAAGGAAUAUUGCGCAAUGGGGCGAAAGCC